rnacentral:rRNA from 1 species
UACUCUUGACAUCCUGCGAACUUUCCAGAGAUGGAUUGGUGCCUGCUUGCAGGAGCUUUCAUACAGGUGCUGCACGGCUGUCGUCAGCUCGUGUCGUGAGAUGUUGGGUUAAGUCCCGCAACGAGCGCAACCCUCGUCGUUAGUUGCUAACAGUUCGGCUGAGAACUCUAACGAGACUGCCUACGCAAGUAGGAGGAAGGUGAGGACGACGUCAAGUCAUCAUGGCCCUUACGACCAGGGCUACACACGUGCUACAAUGGGGUAUACAAAGAGCAGCAAUACGGUGACGUGGAGCGAAUCUCAAAAAUGCCUCCCAGUUCGGAUUGUAGUCUGCAACUAGACUACAUGAAGUUGGAAUCGCUAGUAAUCGUAGAUCAGCUAUGCUACGGUGAAUACGUUCCCGGGUCU